ACAUGGCUGAAUACUGUGUUUUUUACCCGUAAUCUACACAGCCAGACACCAUGUCACAGUAUUGUUUCCCUUUAACAUAUUUCCGGUGUGCUGUGUCUUCUUUAUGGCAUAUCAUCUGUAGAGGUCAACACCAGA